CACGCCGUAAACGAUGAGUGCUAAGUGUUAGGGGGUUUCCGCCCCUUAGUGCUGCAGCUAACGCAUUAAGCACUCCGCCUGGGGAGUACGGUCGCAAGACUGAAACUCAAAGGAAUUGACGGGGGCCCGCACAAGCGGUGGAGCAUGUGGUUUAAUUCGAAGCAACGCGAAGAACCUUACCAGGUCUUGACAUCCUCUGACAACCCUAGAGAUAGGGAUUUCCCCUUCGGGGGACAGAGUGACAGGUGG
rnacentral:rRNA from 1 species